UCGGCAUAUAAUUUAAAUGCAUCGUAAGCUGUACACGACGUCUUUUAGACAUCGUAUUGCCAUCACGCCAUCAUCGUAAUCCAUCGUGUAGCCUUCGUGAUCCAUCGUGUAGGCUUCGGCUGAGAUAUGAAGCUUAAAUACCCGUCUUCGGUUAACCUUCGUAUGUCCAUCUUUUGCUAUCGUAUAUAAUUUCGGCACCAUCGUA
rnacentral:lncRNA from 1 species